GAACACACUCAGUUUAAAACCAAAACGACCCAACACACGCUCUCUGCCCAAGAACCCUAAAAAUCGCCGCACAUCGAAUUCACCGGCGUUCAUCAUCUCCGUCGCUGUUCAGGCUCUCCAAGAGCUCUACACCCUCAGUUCCGCCUUUAAUUCUUCAGUACCGAGGUCUUUCCUGUGCAUCUUGCUGGUAGAUGCUCUAUUUCGAGUGCUCGAAGCUUGAGCUUAAUCAGUCAAUUGGGGGCUUAGUUCUUGAGUUGUUACCCCUUGGAAGAUCGGCAUCUUUUCCUCUCUAACUAUUUUCGAUUUGUUCUGGGGGCUGACACAUUAACUCGGAUUCUCCUUCCUAGAGGCUGCGUUAAUAUAUAGCUGAAGAUUUCAGGAAUUGGUGUGAAAGUGAAUGUGUCGGACUCAAAGGGAUAGAAGAAUGUUCAGACAAUUAUAAUUGGAUGCUUACUUGCUGGAAUUGGUAUUGGCAUCUCAUCAACCAUUGUGCCACUGUACAUAUCUGAGGCAUUAGAACUUUUCCGGAAGCAGGGAGUGGAUUUUUUGAUUGCUCCAGAUGUUGCAUUUCUACCAGUGAACAUUUGUAUCCGUGUGGGUGCACAUUGUGGUUUGUAAAACAGUUGCCAAAGCAGAUCAGAUUCAGAUGUAUAUGGCCAUGCAACAUCAAACCUUGUAGCUGGAGUGGUUUUGAAAAGGACGUCUGGACCUAGACAGCCGAGGGAAGGCCUUUUGUUGGUUAUUUUGUCUAGUUAAAGAUUUUUCCAAAUUUGGGGUAGAUGGUUUAUGGAAUGACAUGAAUGAGCCUGCUGUCUUUGAGGUGAAGUGAAUCAAGUUCUUUGCAUUCCAUUAUUCUAUAUGUCUGCUUAAUCUCUCAUCUCAGUUAUUCUUUUGAGACAAUUACAAAAAUCAUGCCCGAGAGUACUAUUCACAGGGGAGAUGCUGAACUUGGAGGAUGCCAAAAUCACGCACAUUAUCACAAUGUGUAUGGAAUGUUAAUGGCCAGAUCAACAUAUGAAGGCAUGAAAGUAGCUGAUGAGAGUAAUAAUCUAUCAGGGAGCAUCUAUAUAUGAGCAUAUCCAUGGUUCCCCAACUGUAGGCUGCAAGGAGUCGCAGGACUUAUUCUAAGACGGACCUCGACAUCAUUGGUUGGAGUCGCUAAAUUAUAUCCAGUCUAUUAUGUAGUUUGGAUUCUCAUAAGUUAGACAGAUUAAUUGCAUGUUAUCGGAUAUUUUAAGAUGCACAUUUUAAAUUUAUGUUUAAUUAGAUGUUUGGAGUAGAUAAAUUUGAAUGUUGGACUAGUUGUAUUGGAUGAAUGUUGGAUCUACAUUGGUUUAUAU